rnacentral:rRNA from 1 species
GACAUAGGUGACGAACGUUAUCCGGAAUUAUUGGGCGUAAAGGGUGCGUAGAUGGUUUUGUAAGUUACUAGUAGAAAACUGAGGCUCAACCUCUGGAAAGCUAGUAAUACUGCAAGACUAGAGAGUAAGAGAGGUUAAUGGAAUUCCUUGUGGAGCGGUGAAAUGCGUAGAUAUAAGGAAGAACAUCAAUAAAGGCGAAGGCAAUUAACCAUUUUAUUUCUGACAUUGAGGCACGAAAGCGUGGGGAGCAAAACGG